CCUACGGGCGGCAGUAGUGGGGAAUAUUGCGCAAUGGGCGAAAGCCUGACGCAGCGACGCCGCGUGAGGGAUGAAGGUCUUCGGAUCGUAAACCUCUGUCAGCAGGGAAGAACGGUCACUGUGCUAAUCAGCAGUGAAUUGACGGUACCUGCAAAGGAAGCACCGGCGAACUCCGUGCCAGCAGCCGCGGUAAUACGGAGGGUGCGAGCGUUAAUCGGAAUUACUGGGCGUAAAGGGCUCGUAGGCGGUAUGUCAAGUCAAGGGUGAAAUACCCGCGCUCAACGUGGGAACUGCCUUUGAAAAUGGCGAACGUGAGUGUGUGAGAGGUUAGUGGAAUUCGAGGUGUAGCAGUGAAAUGCGUAGAUAUCUGGAGGAACAUCAGUGGCGAAGGCGACUAUCUGGCACAUAACUGACGCUGAGGAGCGAAAGCGUGGGUAGCAAACAGGAUUAGAUACCCCAGUAGUC
rnacentral:rRNA from 1 species